UCGUGGCUGCGUUAGGGAUAGGAACGGCAUCCUUUUGUUUUUUUCUUUAAAAAACAAAAGAUAAAGUGGAUAGCCCGACCGAAG
rnacentral:sRNA from 1 species